rnacentral:rRNA from 1 species
ACUGAAUGGAGGACCGAACCGACUUACGUUGAAAAGUGAGCGGAUGAACUGAGGGUAGCGGAGAAAUUCCAAUCGAACCUGGAGAUAGCUGGUUCUCUCCGAAAUAGCUUUAGGGCUAGCCUCAAGUGAUGAUUAUUGGAGGUAGAGCACUGUUUGGACGAGGGGCCCCUCUCGGGUUACCGAAUUCAGACAAACUCCGAAUGCCAAUUAAUUUAACUUGGGAGUCAGAACAUGGGUGAUAAGGUCCGUGUUCGAAAGGGAAACAGCCCAGACCACCAGCUAAGGUCCCAAAAUAUAUGUUAAGUGGAAAAGGAUGUGGCGUUGCCCAGACAACUAGGAUGUUGGCUUAGAAGCAGCCAUCAUUUAAAGAGUGCGUAAUAGCUCACUAGUCGAGUGACACUGCGCCGAAAAUGUACCGGGGCUAAACAUAUUACCGAAGCUGUGGAUUGUCCUUUGGACAAUGGUAGGAGAGCGUUCUAAGGGCGUUGAAGCAUGAUCGUAAGGACAUGUGGAGCGCUUAGAAGUGAGAAUGCCGGUGUGAGUAGCGAAAGACGGGUGAGAAUCCCGUCCACCGAUUGACUAAGGUUUCCAGAGGAAGGCUCGUCCGCUCUGGGUUAGUCGGGUCCUAAGCUGAGGCCGACAGGCGUAGGCGAUGGAUAACAGGUUGAUAUUCCUGUACCACCUAUAAUCGUUUUAAUCGAUGGGGGGACGCAGUAGGAUAGGCGAAGCGUGCGAUUGGAUUGCACGUCUAAGCAGUAAGGCUGAGUAUUAGGCAAAUCCGGUACUCGUUAAGGCUGAGC